UCGCUAGCGCUCGCUGUAGAAGAGCUGCUUCCCCUUUCCUUGAUGUAAGCAGAGCCCCAUUGGCGUUUGGGCCUGUUUUUAUUUGGCCACUCACGCAGUUAUGCUGACUGAAAGGUCCCUUGAGCACCGCUGACUCAAAAACACCCAUGGUCGCAGAGUCCUGAGCAAGGAGAACAGAAAGCAUCUGGCACUUCCCUGUCCCCAUUUCAGGACCGAGAGAGGUAGAACCCAAAGCUGAGGCUGCAGAGCGUGACUCUUAGUCAUAUCAACAGGGGAUUUUGCAAUUGGUGGGUGCGGGGUGCGAGGCAGGCAGUCUGCAAGCAAAUUUGAAGUGCUCUGCAAAGCACUGGAGUGGGGUUCCUCUGCUGCCAGGCCUGCGCAGCACAGUGCGGCCCUCACUCCCUGCUGCCCUGCAGCCUGCCGGGCCGCUCCACUUGGGCACAGGGUUUAGCACAAGUGAGCAGGCAGCUCACGUGGUGAGUGGUGGGUGGCCAUGGCUGCCCUGUAUCUGCCUCCUGUUCACAUUUGCAGCAGCUGAUUUCUAUGCAAGGCAGGGUCUAAAGUGGAUCCCGCUGAGUUUGGCCCAGUUUGGCUGGUGCUGUUCAGCUCAGGGACAGGAUGGAAGGAUGGAGCUGAGACUCAUAGAGCCAGCACUCCCAGCAUCCCAUUCCUGCAGUGGAUACACAGAUUACCUAUCAGUAGAGCUCCUUCUUAAGCCGGAUUGAUUGAGGCAGAAUUUGCAAUCGUUGAAUGAGAGAUGACACAAUCAUAGAAUGGCUCAGGUUGGAGGGGACGCUAAAGAUCACCCAGUUCCAGCCCGCCGCCGUGGGCAGGGAUGUGGAUGGAGAAGUGCUUUGUACUGUAACAGUUUCAUUUAGAAGCGAGAAGUCCUUCAUGAGGAGGUAGUGGGAGGAGGAGGUUAUUGACAAUGCCACUCCUGUCCGAAGGAAUGUGCUGGAAAGUUGCAGUGGCCUCUAGAUGGCAGCCCCAUUACUCACUCGUCAGAAAACUGAAAAUAAACGCCUUCCCUUUCAAAGCUGGACUUACAGGCAGGCCUAAAGCUUCGGGAGCUCAGACCAAAACCCGCGGGCAGUCAAGAUGACAGUGGGACCCAUCCGGCUUUGUUUUUUCCCCUUCGCCUCGCCCAAAAGGAGGAGCGAGGACUCGCUUCCCUCUGGACUCUGUAUUUGGUAAUGGGCCGGGAGCUGCCGCUGGGAGCUCGUCCUGACGUUCCUGGAGUCGUCUGGAAAGCGAGGCGGAGCCGCGGUGCUGUGCCCAGGGGUGCGCCUCGCCCCGGGUGCCGGCGGCUGUGCUGGGAGCGGGAGGUCCGCGCCGUGCUGCCGUGUGUGACCCGUGGGACGCGGGGCGGGCAGCUUCCACAGCACCAGAGCAGCGCUCUGCCAGAGCUAUUUGUAUAGUAAAUUGCUGUAUUGUUUCAAUUAAAAAAACGCAGCCGGGCAUUUAAUGGCUCCCAUCUGCGGCCACUCUGCGUAAUUCACUUCCCACUUUAAGGUUUUGCCAGCAGAUUUAGUCUGAGCCUCAUCAGCAGGGGACCUGGAUAAGAAACCGUGGUCAGCUGCCUCUCAGCUCCGAGCCAGUCUUCCUCAAAGAGCGACGGUAACUUUGGAUGCCACGACUGCGUGACACGCAGCUGCAACCUUGACCUGGUAGGAUCUCCUACGGUCAGAUCCAGCAGAGAGGAGGUGUGCAGUGGGAGCACAUGGGGCGUGAACACAGAGGUUCCUGCUGAGGCAGAAGAAGGUGGCGUGACCCCGAAAAAGGGAACAGGAGCUGCAACUUCCACCCUUGUGGGCUAAGAGGAACGACCACCCCUGAGGUCCCAUGAAGCUGCAGGCUGCUCCAGACCCACCCUUAUGCGGGAAGGAACACACCCUUGCCUCUGCCUGCAUGUGGCUGCAGGUUCCUCGCUGCAGCCCAGCCCUCCUGAUGAUGUGUGGCCUUCGGGUGGUGCGACACGGCGCUGCUGGGGAGUGGGCUGGCUGUGGUGGGCUUCCUCCUCGCCUUACUGCCACGUGCUGCCCCUACAAGACAACCUCCCGCCAGCUGGAAACCCAGCGCGGCCUCGUGUCCCCAAAAUAAAGAUUUUGUCCUACAGUUUCAUGACUGUAAUUGUUAAGCAGCUCUGUUGUAAGCUUCCCACUAUUUGCCUCAAGCAGCUCAUCCCUGCGGUUCCUCCCAUGCUAAUCUCUGCGAUCUGUGGCAUGCAUACAGCGCUGGCUGGAACGGUCCCUCCCCUCUGCUGCACCGUAUUUGCCAGAACAGGCAUAACUCCAGAUAACCGGAUUUGAAACAAUCAGAGCAGGAAGUGGCAAUAACUGGCCUGGAGGGAAGGCGGGGAGUUGCCCAUAGACAGUUUUUUAGAAGGGUGCCCAAUUUGUGCUAUCUGAUCUCUUUCCACGCUCCUUUAGCCCAGGUACAAAGGCAGGAUGUAAAGCUUGCAGGAGUCAUUUCCAUCCUCUCUCCCUGGCUUCUGACUGAGUUCAGAUCUGUACCGUCUCUUUCUUACAG
ensembl:lncRNA